rnacentral:rRNA from 1 species
UAGGGAAUCUUCGGCAAUGGACGAAAGUCUGACCGAGCAACGCCGCGUGAGUGAAGAAGGUUUUCGGAUCGUAAAACUCUGUUGUUAGAGAAGAACAAGGACGUUAGUAACUGAACGUCCCCUGACGGUAUCUAACCAGAAAGCCACGGCUAACUACGUGCCAGCAGCCGCGGUAAUACGUAGGUGGCAAGCGUUGUCCGGAUUUAUUGGGCGUAAAGCGAGCGCAGGCGGUUUCUUAAGUCUGAUGUGAAAGCCCCCGGCUCAACCGGGGAGGGUCAUUGGAAACUGGGAGACUUGAGUGCAGAAGAGGAGAGUGGAAUUCCAUGUGUAGCGGUGAAAUGCGUAGAUAUAUGUAGGAACACCAGUGGCGAAGGCGGCUCUCUGGUCUGUAACUGACGCUGAGGCUCGAAAGCGUGGGGAGCAAACAGG